UACGUAGGGGGCGAGCGUUGUCCGGAGUUACUGGGCGUAAAGCGCACGCAGGCGGUCUGUUAAGUUUGGAGUGACAGUUGGUGGCUCAACCACCAAAGUGCUUUGAAAACUGAUAGACUUGAGGGCUUCAGAGGGACACGGAAUUCCGGGUGGAGUGGUGAAAUGCGUAGAGAUCCGGAGGAACACCAAAGGCGAAGGCAGUGUCCUGGGGAGUACCUGACGCUCAGGUGCGAAAGCCAGGGGAGCGAACGGG
rnacentral:rRNA from 1 species